rnacentral:rRNA from 1 species
GAUGAACGCUGACAGAAUGCUUAACACAUGCAAGUCAACUUGAAUUUGGGUUUUUAACUUAGGUUUGGGUGGCGGACGGGUGAGUAACGCGUAAAGAACUUGCCUCACAGCUAGGGACAACAUCUGGAAACGAAUGCUAAUACCUAAUAUUAUGAUAAUAGGGCAUCCUAUAAUUAUGAAAGCUAUAAGCGCUGUGAGAGAGCUUUGCGUCCCAUUAGCUAGUUGGAGAGGUAACGGCUCACCAAGGCGAUGAUGGGUAGCCGGCCUGAGAGGGUGAUCGGCCACAAGGGGACUGAGACACGGCCCUUACUCCUACGGGAGGCAGCAGUGGGGAAUAUUGGACAAUGGACCAAGAGUCUGAUCCAGCAAUUCUGUGUGCACGAUGAAGUUUUUCGGAAUGUAAAGUGCUUUCAGUUGGGAAGAAAGAAAUGACGGUACCAACAGAAGAAGUGACGGCUAAAUACGUG